UACAGAGGUGGCAAGCGUUGCUCGGUAUCACUGGGCUUAAAGGGCGCGUAGGCGGUGCGGUACGGUUUCGGUGAAAUCCCUCGGCCCAACCGAGGAACAGCCGGGGCUACGGCCGCACUAGACGGCAUCAGGGGACAGUGGAACUUCCGGUGGAGCGGUGAAAUGCGUAGAUAUCUGGAGGAACACCGGUGGCGAAGGCGGCAUCCUGGACCGAUAUUGACGCUGAGGCGCGAAAGCUAGGGGAGCAAACGGG
rnacentral:rRNA from 1 species